rnacentral:rRNA from 1 species
GAUGAAACGCUGGCGGCGUGCUUAACACAUGCAAGUCGAACGGGAAACCUUUUUAUUGAAGCUUCGGCAGAUUUAGCUGGUUUCUAGUGGCGGACGGGUGAGUAACGCGUGGGUAACCUGCCUUAUACAGGGGGAUAACAACCAGAAAUGGUUGCUAAUACCGCAUAAGCGCACAGGACCGCAUGGUCCGGUGUGAAAAAACUCCGGUGGUAUAAGAUGGACCCGCGUUGGAUUAGCUAGUUGGCAGGUAACGGCUACCAAGGCGACGAUCCAUAGCCGGCCUGAGAGGUGAACGGCCACAUUGGGACUGAGACACGGCCCAGGACUCCUACGGGAGGUAGCAGUGGGAAUAUUGCACAAUGGGGGAAACCCUGGAUGCCGGCGAACGCCC